rnacentral:piRNA from 1 species
UCCUUUACGACUUAAUGUCUUGUGCCAGGA